GGCCUAGUGGCGCAAUGGUAGCGCGUUACUUUCCGGUGGUAAAGGUUCCAGGUUCGAAUCCUGGCUGGGUCG
rnacentral:tRNA from 1 species